UGUUUCAAUCUGUGGUUGAGUUUUUUGGCCAUCCGUGAUGGGACAGAUUAGAUCAGCACAUGUUUUUCAUCACAUACUGACCACCCAGAUGAAAAUGAAUUUCUAAAACUGCCAAACCCAGGAUCAGGGGCUGUAAUAAGAAUUUUUCAAGAAGCAGCCACACCCAAAGGGCUCAUCCCACAAUAACCAUUAGUGCCCAGAGCAGAGGGGAGCCCAGCACGGGACAGUUGCCAGCUCAUCAUGGACCUCAAGCCCCUGGCUGAUGUCUUCAUCUGGCUGUACCUCAGCCUUCUCACUCCCAUCUGCCUGUGAGUGCCCACAUCUCUGCUGCAGCCUACAUCAGGGAAUGGGUGUGGAGUGAUCAGGAAGUUAGAGACCCAAGAAGAAGGUUGUGCUUCUAGGGAAGCGUAAAUGUGAAUCUGUUUGGCUUCUGAUUCAGCCCGGAAGAAACACCAAUACCUUCUUCACCACCGUCCACAGCAGCAGGUCUUAUAAUCAAUGUCUCCCACUGACAUUUACAGUGCCUGCUCAUUUGUUGGGCUCCCCACAUUAUACAACACUUCUUUGCCACCAUUUGCCUACCUAGAGAUGAGAAUUAGUUUCAAUAAAAUAGGUAAAUGUUUCCAAAUAAGUACUCAAUGUUACGCUCCCCUCCCCCGUUUCUGAUGCAACCUGUUAUGCUUUGGUGGGAAGCUAAAGAGCUUCAGGGUCCCAGAACCCCCAAACAUAACUACCGACAUACCUGGGCUCUACCAGAGGCAGCUGCGGAUUUGGGGAGUCACAUCACCUCUAUGGGCCUCGGUUUCCUCAGCUAGAAAACAAAGUGAUAGACUGGAUAAUGUUUCUUUCCAUUGGAAAAAUCCAUAAAGUCCAAAAUAACUGAACUCUGACAAAUGUUUUUUCCUUUUUUUUUUCUUACUCUGAAUAAUGAAAUUUGUAUUCAGCUGAGAUUGACUGGCCAAACAUCAUACGUUCAAUUUACUAGCACUUAGUGCCGCAGAAGAAGCAGUAAGACGUUUCCACGCCAGCGACAGGCACCUUGUAUUUGAAAGUCUUCCAUUUCAUUAUUCACCUUUAUGUUUUCACUAAAACACAUGUGGUUUUCAAACACAGGAAAGAAAACAUGGUAACCUGUGGUUAUAAUUUCCACUAGAAAAUAGAAAACGUGUAGCUCAGAAAGAGUGCUGGUGGGGAGUUCCUUUCUGCUUUAAACACGAAAACCCAUGUGAGAAAAGCUUUCUCUUGAGAAGAAGGUUGUUAGGUGGUGCGAUUUUCAAAGGUUGUUGGAGAAUGAGGCCCUAUGGCAUCUGAGGUCGCAGCUGCAGUCGAGUUGUGGCUGAACAACUGGGAAGACCACAGGGCCAUGGCUUGUUUUUUGGUUCUCUACUGUGUUUUCAGAUGGCUACUCUUUGCUCUUGCGUUUCAAAUUCUGGGAAAUCGGAAGACUAGACAAUAACUCUGGUGACCCUUGCCACUUCUUACCUAGUGUGUCUUUUUAGGUCCCCAUCUUGAGGCAAGCUGGCAUGUAGAAAUAGCUUUUCUGGGGGAGCAUCUAACCUCCAUAACUAUUUUCAACAACUGGUUCUGCCUCCCCUGUCAUCAGUUGAGUCCACUCUGUGUCUAAAUUUAGUUAAUUCUUCAAUACAUAUUUAUGGAGCAUCCACUAAGUUUGUGAUAGGGCUGCAUGUCUAAAUUCACGGUUAAUCAGAAAGAAACUCAAGACAUAAAUAAAAAAGUAUCACAAAAGUAUUUAGUUGUUUACCAUAAAUUUAUUUAUAUAAACAUACAACUUCAGUAAUAUAAUUUCUCUUAACCACCUGUCCACUUACAUUUUGUUCUAAAUUGGUCUUUGUGAGUAGAAAGGAGAGAUGUCAGUUUCUUAAUUAUAUUACUACAGUGAUCAUUUUUAACAGGUAAAUAAAAUAUUUUCUGAUGAUUAAAAAAAAAGUAUCUUUUGAAUGUUCUAAAGUGUAGUCAUCAAAAACUAUUAGUGAGUGAGGCGUGGUUGUGCACUCCUGAAAUCCCAACCAUGAGGGAGCCUGAGGCAGUAGGAUCCCGAGUUCAAGGCCAGUCUCAGCAAUUUAGCGGGGGCCUUAAGCAACUUAGUGAGACUCUAUCUUAAUAUUAAGAAUAAAAGGAUGGGGAUGUGGCUCAGUGAUUAAGCAUCCCGGGGUUCAAUCCCUGUACCAAAGCCCAAAACAAACAAAACCCAAAAAACUAUUAGUGAUAUGGAUUAUGUUUCAUGUAAAUUUCUUUUCAUAAGACCCUGUCAUUAUAACUUUGGAAAUGCUCUUUUUUUGGGUUGUUGGGGUGCCUAACAGUGAGGGCAAAACACUCUUGACUAAAUCGCAUGCACUGGCUUACGCCAUCUGCUCAACCUGGAGGAAGAGAACGUGUGGAUGGGAUCAUGAAUACUGGGGCUGUAAGUUUUCUUUCAGUUGCCUUCCUGAUCACAAUGAGAUAAGAAUGGAGUGUAGCAGGAAGAGCAGCUGUCAGUGAAUUUCAUGUGUGAGUUCAGUUUCUGAGGGAUCAGCUGCAGCAUGCUUAGAACGAGAAAGCUGGAGUGAGCAGCUUGCUGCUGCUUCUCUCAAGUUCUUAUCUGCAGCGAGGAAGAUCUUAUCAGCGUGGAUGUGUUUAUACACAAGCACAGAUGUGGAUGGUAAAAAAACAUGUGUUUCUAUCCAAAGAAGAGCACUGGGAGGACUCUGACCCAUGCCGUUUCUUCUGCUCUUGUUCUGCUGCUGCUGUCCUCAGCACACCAAGGAGAACUAUCUCAUGAAAGCAUGAGUGAGUUGAGCCACUCCCUUAUCCCUAUGCAACCUGCCAGCUCCUGAUCCCCAGAUCGGACACCAACUCAUCUUCUGAACCUGUCACUCCUCUUCCUCACUUAGCCACACGGGCUUCCUCACCACUCCCUUCCAUGCCAGGCAAGCUUCAGCUCAGGGCAUUUGCACAAGAUCUCCUUAAGGUCAUGGCCUGAACACCAGCUUCUCAGCAAUGACUUUCCUACUAACCUGGGGCUUCACUUUGGUUCUGCCUGGCCCACAAGAACCUCUUGCAAAUAACUGGUCCAAGAAAGAACCACUUCAACAUGAUGCCGAGUGAAAGGAGCUUGACACAGUAAAGAAGGUGCACUGCCUGCUUGAGGCAAAACCAUGUAUGGUGGUGGAAAUCAGAUUAACGCUUUCCUGGGCAGGGGCUCGGGAUGGAGGUAGACUACACAGAGACACAGGUGACCUUUCGGGUGAGAUGAAAAUGUUCUGUACCUUUAAAAAACAGUUUGCAUUUAUUAUUUAUUUUAGCUGACAAAUAAAAAUUGCAUAUGUUUAUGGUGUACAAGGUGA
rnacentral:lncRNA from 1 species